rnacentral:lncRNA from 1 species
GAACUAUUUUGUUCAUUGCUUUGAAAAUCCUUUAUUUAAUGUUUUCCGCUGCGACGUUUCGUGUCACGUGCACGAUCGUUUUAUAAAAUGUUUUCCGUAGCGCUCCGGCUACUUAUCUUUAAAAAGUUUUUAAGAUCAUUUUUUUAAGGGUAGUUAGUUCGGGGUGUUACAAUAGUGGUAUCAGAGCAGGUCGGUUCAUGUGAGCCAUUAGGAUUUUCUUUCUCUUGUAUGAAGCAUGUGUUGGGUACACUGUUAAUACAUUCUAACGUCGAGUUGUGAUUCGUUCAGGAAUCAUGGCUGCUGCUAGGACCAACGCUCAUAUUGCACGAGCUUUGACUGCUUUGACUACAUUGGUGGUAAGGGAUAAUGACCCGGGAAGGGAUAGUGAGAAAAGAUUGGAAAGGUUUAUGUCGCAUAAACCGACUCUGUUUACCGGAGGCUAUAACCCGGAGGGGGCUGUCAAGUGGUUAGACGAGGUUGAGAUCAUCUUUGAAGCAAUGUGUUGUUCUGAGGAGAACAAGACUA